rnacentral:lncRNA from 1 species
AAGCUGCACGGGCUGUGCCGGGUGAAGGCCAGGGACGACAACCAGCGACCGGCCAGCCUCGAUUUCCCCCCAGCCUCGGCCCCCCCGGGCCCCGACUCCCUGCACAGCUCCGGCGUCAGCGUCCUCCUGCACCGCGAGCUGCCCCAGAUCCCCGUCCCCGAGCCCCCGGCCCCCGACCAGACCUACUCCAACCUGCUCUUCGCCCCGCCGCGACGCCCGGCACAGGACACGGUCUACGAGUGCCUGGCGGUGGGGGGGGACGAUGCCCCCGCACCCCCUGCUCCCACGGGGACCCGGGUGUCCCCACCGCAGGCCAGGCGCGGGGCUGGUGACUACGCCUGCGUCCGCAAGGUGAAGAAGACGGCGCCCGGCGAGGAGCAGGAGGGGGCCGUGGCGGGGCCUCCCGCAGCCCCCCGGUGCUGGGAGGGCACGGGCAAUGCCCCCCCCCAGCUGAAGGUACGGUGCUGUGAGGGGCUCGCUGGGUGGGGGGCGGGGGGGGCGCAGAACACCGUCCCCAUAACGCCCCUGUCUGGAGAAGGGUAGCCAAAGGCUGCUCCGUUUUAACAGCAGCUUUUUUGGGGGGUGGGGGGC